GGGCCGAUAGCUCAACUGGCAGAGCACUGGUUUUGCAUACCAGAGGUUAGGGGUUCGACCCCCCUUCGGUCCA
rnacentral:tRNA from 1 species